ACCUUCGGGCCUCUUGCCAUCAGAUGUGCCCAGAUGGGAUUAGCUUGUUGGUGAGGUAACGGCUCACCAAGGCGACGAUCCCUAGCUGGUCUGAGAGGAUGACCAGCCACACUGGAACUGAGACACGGUCCAGACUCCUACGGGAGGCAGCAGUGGGGAAUAUUGCACAAUGGGCGCAAGCCUGAUGCAGCCAUGCCGCGUGUAUGAAGAAGGCCUUCGGGUUGUAAAGUACUUUCAGCGGGGAGGAAGGUGUUGUGGUUAAUAACCACAGCAAUUGACGUUACCCGCAGAAGAAGCACCGGCUAACUCCGUGCCAGCAGCCGCGGUAAUACGGAGGGUGCAAGCGUUAAUCGGAAUUACUGGGCGUAAAGCGCACGCAGGCGGUCUGUCAAGUCGGAUGUGAAAUCCCCGGGCUCAACCUGGGAACUGCAUUCGAAACUGGCAGGCUUGAGUCUUGUAGAGGGGGGUAGAAUUCCAGGUGUAGCGGUGAAAUGCGUAGAGAUCUGGAGGAAUACCGGUGGCGAAGGCGGCCCCCUGGACAAAGACUGACGCUCAGGUGCGAAAGCGUGGGGAGCAAACAGGAUUAGAUACCCUGGUAGUCCACGCCGUAAACGAUGUCUACUUGGAGGUUGUGCCCUUGAGGCGUGGCUUCCGGAGCUAACGCGUUAAGUAGACCGCCUGGGGAGUACGGCCGCAAGGUUAAAACUCAAAUGAAUUGACGGGGGCCCGCACAAGCGGUGGAGCAUGUGGUUUAAUUCGAUGCAACGCGAAGAACCUUACCUGGUCUUGACAUCCACAGAACUUUCCAGAGAUGGAUUGGUGCCUUCGGGAACUGUGAGACAGGUGCUGCAUGGCUGUCGUCAGCUCGUGUUGUGAAAUGUUGGGUUAAGUCCCGCAACGAGCGCAACCCUUAUCCUUUGUUGCCAGCGGUCCGG
rnacentral:rRNA from 1 species